GUCACUUGUUCUCUUAUAUGUAAAAAUGAAAUGUGGUAUGGAUAUGAGUCUUCAUAGGUUUUUUUUUAGAAAAUGUGUAACGACAUGUAUGCUUUAUAUUAAAUGCAUUUAAUUAAAGUAAUGGUUCUAUUAGUUAUUUUUCUAAUUUUUGCCGAUCUUCAAUGUUCCGUAUAUGUAAUUAGUGUGAUACUCUUACUGAACUAGUG
rnacentral:lncRNA from 1 species